rnacentral:lncRNA from 1 species
UUGUACUUUUUUUUCUUUUUCUUUUUCAUAGUUGUUUUUAUUUUAUUUGAGAUUGUUAUGUUUUGUUUUUCAUUUUUACGCACUGUUUUUAAUACUAUUUUAUGGUUUUUGUUUAGUUUUUAUCUCUAUGUUUUAAUUAUGUUUGUCUAUUUUAUUAUUACUUUGCUCGAAAAAAUGCAUUUCAUUUAAACUCACUUACAUUUCUGGUUUUUCCCAAUUCAGACGAAAUAAUCAAAAUUCAAGGGAGUUUCAGUUCCCUUCCUCUCUUAUGAUAUUAUGUUUCUUCUAUGAUUAUAUCUAUUUGUCCAUUGAGG